AACUUUCAACAAUGGAUUUCUCGGUCCCGGCAUCGAUAAAGAGCGUAGAGGAAUGCGAUAACUAGUCCAUAAACUAAAUGUAUGAGGACUUCACUUCUGGGAAGUUGACGGUAGGUUAUCUUUGUAUACUCCGUACUUAGAGAUG
rnacentral:rRNA from 1 species